rnacentral:rRNA from 1 species
CUUACACCUGCAGUCGAACGAUGAACCACUUCGGUGGGGAUUAGUGGCGAACGGGUGAGUAACACGUGGGCAAUCUGCCCUGCACUCUGGGACAAGCCCUGGAAACGGGGUCUAAUACCGGAUAAUACUCCCGCACUCAUGUGUGGGGGUUAAAAGCUCCGGCGGUGCAGGAUGAGCCCGCGGCCUAUCAGCUUGUUGGUGAGGUAAUGGCUCACCAAGGCGACGACGGGUAGCCGGCCUGANAGGGCGACCGGCCACACUGGGACUGAGACACGGCCCAGACUCCUACGGGAGGCAGCAGUGGGGAAUAUUGCACAAUGGGCGAAAGCCUGAUGCAGCGACGCCGCGUGAGGGAUGACGGCCUUCGGGUUGUAAACCUCUUUCAGCAGGGAAGAAGCGAAAGUGACGGUACCUGCAGAAGAAGCGCCGGCUAACUACGUGCCAGCAGCCGCGGUAAUACGUAGGGCGCAAGCGUUGUCCGGAAUUAUUGGGCGUAAAGAGCUCGUAGGCGGCUUGUCACGUCGGGUGUGAAAGCCCGGGGCUUAACCCCGGGUCUGCAUUCGAUACGGGCUAGCUAGAGUGUGGUAGGGGAGAUCGGAAUUCCUGGUGUAGCGGUGAAAUGCGCAGAUAUCAGGAGGAACACCGGUGGCGAANGCGGAUCUCUGGGCCAUUACUGACGCUGAGGAGCGAAAGCGUGGGGAGCGAACAGGAUUA